rnacentral:rRNA from 1 species
UACGUAGGGUGCAAGCGUUGUCCGGAAUUAUUGGGCGUAAAGAGCUCGUAGGCGGCUUGUCACGUCGGGUGUGAAAGCCCGGGGCUUAACCCCGGGUCUGCAUUCGAUACGGGCAGGCUAGAGUGUGGUAGGGGAGAUCGGAAUUCCUGGUGUAGCGGUGAAAUGCGCAGAUAUCAGGAGGAACACCGGUGGCGAAGGCGGAUCUCUGGGCCAUUACUGACGCUGAGGAGCGAAAGCGUGGGGAGCGAACAGG